CCUGAGAAACCCAAAAGAUCGAAUGGGGAGAUUCAUCGUCAGCUCAUUUUGUAUAUAUAUGAGUUAUGAUAUGGGUUACUACUUGUAGUAUUGCCUAUACAUUCUUAUAUAUUUAAUUGCAAGAUGUUGUCGGCGUGCACUUCUCCCCUAGUAGGACGUCGCGACCCGUUGAGUGUCGGUCUACGGCCCGAGUGGUAGCCUUUAAUUCUUGUAAUUAAAAACCCUUGGUGUUUCCUGACUGACUGCUCGGCGGUAUUCGUACGGUAUUAAGCCGCAUAUAUUUAUGCGUUCAUAUCCGUCGCAAGCGCGGUCAAUUUUUGAUAGUACGGACUUAGUGCCGUCGUCAUAAUUGAUCAGCUGUUGGUUGUACGGUAUUCUAGAACUGGCUUAACAAAAUAAUAUACCGGUCUGCGAUGCUACUGCUUUGGUACU
rnacentral:rRNA from 1 species